UUGAAAGGGAAACGAUUGAAGUCAGUCGGGCUGGCGCGAAAUCAACCUUCUCGUCUUGAGAUCACAUGGCGUGGCGAGCCUCAAAACCGUCACGAAGCGUGAACUCUUGGUGAAAUGGAGCACUUUCGUGUCCGCUGGUUAACAUCAAUUUCGAACGUCAUAAAAAGGCUGGAGGGAUGUGGCUCCUUCGGGAGUGUUAUAACCUUUAGCGGAAUGUGGUGUUCGGGAUUGAGGAUUGCAACGAAUACCUUUAGGGCUGUUCCACCUGGCUUCUCUUUGGUAUCCUGGUGACGACAGCUUGCUGACGUCGUUAGGAUUCGCCUUUGAACAGGUUAGAGUGUGAGCAAAUUCGUUAAGGAUGUUGACGUA
rnacentral:rRNA from 1 species